UUCAGGGCGAUCAUCUUGCCCAGAAACAUCAUGUUGAAACUCUUGGUCAGAGGUUGGAUGAAAGCUGACAGGGUCCAUCCAGGAGCAAGUUUGAGCCUUGCCAGUUCCAUUUUGGGUGCUGAGUGGAGUGGCGACUAUAGCAAACCUGUGAUCUCUGGCUGCUGCUCAGAAGAAACAAGAGGGAGGGAUGGGUAAUGUAAAACUCUGGAUCAAUAUUCUAAUUCUGAGCCUCUAAUGGAAUCAGCUAGCAACCACAUAUCAGCUUGGUUCAUGCUGCUGAGAAGUUCAGAGUCAAACCUGAAUCUCACCUCUGCAAAGAGCACAGGACUCCAUGGCAAACGUUGUAUAUAUGCAAGUCAUCCCUGGCACCACCUUGAUUUACUGCACCAGGCUUUCUUCAUUGUGACGAUGUUCUGUCUCUUUUCUAAAAAAAAAAUAAAAAUAAAAAUAAAAUAAAAAAAUA
rnacentral:lncRNA from 1 species